UUUCUGUGUUUCCACGAUGUCAGGAUGAUAACAAAUAAUGGAAUUAUGACCGGACAUAAACUGGAAACACCCUUUAUUUGACAGAUGAGGAAACUGAAGCCCACUGAGGUUAGUGACUCAUCCAAGGAUAUACACAAGUACUUAAUCACAGAGCUGAGCCUUGAUUUCUCAUACUUUUUCCUACUAUGUCACACUUGUCAUCAGUCCACAUUGCUGCAAUACUGAGCCUCCAGAAAGAAACAAUAGCUCUUCCUUUACAGUAUUUGCUGGCUCUCAGGGACACUUUACCCUGUCACAGGAACCAGAAAAACCUCUGACAGACUUCUUCCAGACCUCUGCAUUUUCUAAGUACCUACAUGUGUCUGUACCUACUUAGAUACCUAACAGGAAGCAUUGUUGUUUUCACUCAGGUGGAGAUGUAAGGAGACUCCAGUCAGCCAUUCAGAGAAAGUCAUGCUGAGAGGCCUAGCACAGCUCAGAAAUUGCAGCUCAAUAUGGGAAGCAAGAGAAAUAACGAUGCACCGAGGGAAAGGGGAAGAGACAUGGCAGGACUAACAAUGUUGUCCAGAGGUCCAUCACCAACUGUCCUGACCUAUGUCUUGCCACUGGACUCUGAUGACUCUGGAGGAGACAGAGAGGCUGAUGACUCAGUAUAGCCCUGACUCACUUAAAUCCAAUUCACUUGACAGUCAAGACAUCACCCUCCUGAUGUCAUUUGUCCUCCUCCAGAAUGAAGGAUGAACAACAAUCUGGGAGUUUGUCCACCAUGCCUGAAAUACUCUCGCUCCUCACCUGUGACUCUUGGAAUCCUUUGAAAUAUUCAAGGCAUCUCAAGUACCAACUCCUAGGUCCUCCCAGUUGUUAGCAAUUCUUCCCUUCCCUGAAAUUACUCUGUAUUUACUUUGUAUGUAUUUUGUACAUAUCUGUGUACAUGUUGUUUCCUUCAGUAAAAUAUAAGCCCCUUGAGGGCAGGGACUAUUAGAAUUUUUUUACUUGUGUCUCCAACCUCUGGCAUAAGACCUUGCACAUAGUAAGCCCAUAAUAAAUCUUUAGAAACAGCUAAGUGUUGCA
rnacentral:lncRNA from 1 species